GAUGAACGCUAGCGAUAGGCUUAACACAUGCAAGUCGAGGGGCAGCACAAGGUAGCUUGCUAUCUGGGUGGCGACCGGCGCACGGGUGCGUGACGCGUAUGCAACUUGCCCUAUACAGGAGGAUAACCCGUCGAAAGACGGACUAAUACUGCGUAUGCUCACAACUUGGCAUCAAGUGGUGAGGAAAGAAAUUCGGUAUAGGAUAGGCAUGCGUCCCAUUAGCUUGUUGGUGAGGUAACGGCUCACCAAGGCAACGAUGGGUAGGGGAACUGAGAGGUUUAUCCCCCACACUGGUACUGAGACACGGACCAGACUCCUACGGGAGGCAGCAGUGAGGAAUAUUGGUCAAUGGGCGCGAGCCUGAACCAGCCAAGUCGCGUGAAGGAUGACUGUCUUAUGGAUUGUAAACUUCUUUUAUACGGGAAUAACAAGAGUCACGUGUGACUCCCUGCAUGUACCGUAUGAAUAAGCAUCGGCUAACUCCGUG
rnacentral:rRNA from 1 species